CUGGAUUCAGGCAAGUGGCUGCGGGGGGGACCUUUUAAACCUUAUAGUGCCAGGAAAACCGAUUUUGUUUUCCUGACCCUGUAGGAUCCCUUUUAUUAAAUGUAGAAACCCACAUGGCAUGGGAAACAUACAUGUUUCUCAAACUGUUUUGUGAAUGGGGAACUACUUAUUGCUUAGAGCGUUAGCUGACUGUUCUAAGUCAAUCAGUGGCGCUCCUACUCCCAGCAACUCAAGGCUCCAG